UACGUAGGGGGCAAGCGUUGUCCGGAUUUACUGGGCGUAAAGAGCGUGUAGGCGGCCAAGCAGGUCCGUUGUGAAAACUGGAGGCUUAACCUCCAGACGUCGACGGAAACCGCGUGGCUAGAGCCGGAAGAGGAGAGUGGAAAUUCCGUGGUGUAGCGGUGAAAUGCGCAGAUAUCAGGAAGAACACCAAUGGCGAAGGCAGCUCUCUGGGACGGUACUGACGCUGAGACGCGAAAGCGUGGGGAGCGAACAGG
rnacentral:rRNA from 1 species